CAUAUGAUCAUCUAAGCACUGGUCACCUCCACUCCAUGCAGCAGGAUGCAGAAGAACAGGGAAGAACAAGACAGUGAUGAUCCCAAGCACCACGAUGCAAGAUCAAGGCCACUUGGACUCCCAGCAGAGAGAAUGGUAUUGCUUGGCUGAACACACAGAAGGUGGCUGCAAACACCUCAACUUCUUGGCUUAGUUUCUAGAAGUCAGAGCUACUUGAGAUUAGGAGGAGAGAUGACUUUGAGGACACAGAGAAAUAGGAACGAUUACUCCAGAUUGUGAAGAAGGUGGAAGUAACAAUCCUAUGAAAAGAAUUCGAAUCCAGCUCACCACAGGUAACCGAAACGGUGGUUCAUGAGUUCCAGGACUCAAGUGAUCUUCUACUCAUCAGUGGGGGUUGGAGGGGAACAAUGCCUCUGUAAAUGCUCCAAGAGCUCCAAAGUGUCCUUCGGAUGAAACAAAACAUUUGACUACAAUACACGAAGCUUCCAUCACCUGGCCACAGCCUAACCUCCAGAGAGCAUGACUAUGACAGCUUCCCUACAAGAGAUGCUACUGUGGUUCCGUCUUACAGACAAGCCAACCAAGGCUGGGAGAGUUUAAGAUCUGGCCCAAAGUCACCCAGAGAGUGACAAAGCACACCCACCAGUGUACUGCCUGCCCCCUGGCCCAUUUUCCCUUGGCCACAUCCCCAAUAAAAAGUCCUGGCAGAUCAGGUCUUCGUGAUUGUGACCUACUUACAGCCACCACAAAUCAUAGAGCAGCAUGGGCUGUUCUCCAACUGAAACUAAUUUAAAAUAAUUUACUUUUUUGAAGAAUUAUAAUGAGAAUCCAUAGUUAUAGAUAAUUUAGAUGAAAGCUGUUCUCGUGACCCAGUAAAAAUAAAGAGACAGCAUAUGGUUUGGAAUAAAUGUGAUUCUCGAGAAUGCAAUCUAGAUAAUCACUGAAUUAUUAUAAUCAUUCUGGGGCAUGUUUUUAUCUUUGUUGAUUUUUUCCUGUCCACUGGGACUGUAGUUGUAUAAUAAUAACACAGGUUUAGAGGACUCUGAUCUCCAGUUGCUUAGCAACCCACAGCUUUGAAGAGAAUGAGGGAUCAAGGGUCGAUGGCAAAAUAACGCUGUUUGCAAUUCAACAGUUAUUUAAAAGUUCUAGAAUUAUAAAAACUGUUCUGCUUUAAAUACAAGUAUGCAAAUGAA